rnacentral:rRNA from 1 species
CGGGACGGGUGAGUAAUGUCUGGGAAACUGCCUGAUGGAGGGGGGUAACUACUGGAAACGGUAGCUAAUACCGCAUAACGUCGCAAGACCAAAGAGGGGGACCUUCGGGCCUCUUGCCAUCGGAUGUGCCCAGAUGGGAUUAGCUAGUAGGUGGGGUAACGGCUCACCUAGGCGCGAUCCCUAGCUGGUCUGAGAGGAUGCCAGCCACACUGGAACUGAGACACGGUCCAG